rnacentral:rRNA from 1 species
GACGAACGCUGGCGGCGUGCUUAACACAUGCAAGUCGAACGGAAAGGCCCUGCUUUUGUGGGGUGCUCGAGUGGCGAACGGGUGAGUAACACGGGAGUAACCUGCCCUUGACUUUGGGAUAACUUCAGGAAACUGGGGCUAAUACCGGAUAGGAGCUCCUGCUGCAUGGUGGGGGUUGGAAAGUUUCGGCGGUUGGGGAUGGACUCGCGGCUUAUCAGCUUGUUGGUGGGGUAGUGGCUUACCAAGGCUUUGCCGGGUAGCCGGCCUGGGAGGGUGACCGGCCACCUUGGGACUGAGGUAGGGCCCAGGCUCCUACGGGAGGCAGCAGUGGGGAAUAUUGCACAAUGGGCGGAAGCCGGAGGCAGCAACGCCGCGUGCGGGAUGACGGCCUUCGGGUUGUAAACCGCUUUCGCCUGUGACGAAGCGUGAGUGACGGUAAUGGGUAAAGAAGCACCGGCUAACUACGUG